AGUUAAUGAACUUGUAAAAGUAUAUAUUUUGAAAAUAUAAAAAAAGAAAAUAAAUUCUUAUUAACUU
rnacentral:tRNA from 1 species